rnacentral:rRNA from 1 species
GAUGAACGCUAGCUACAGGCUUAACACAUGCGAGUCGAGGGGCAGCAUGGUCUUAGCUUGCUAAGGCCGAUGGCGACCGGCGCACGGGUGAGUAACACGUAUCCAACCUGCCGUCUACUCUUGGACAGCCUUCUGAAAGGAAGAUUAAUACAAGAUGGCAUCAUGAGUCCGCAUGUUCACAUGAUUAAAGGUAUUCCGGUAGGCGAUGGGGAUGCGUUCCAUUAGAUAGUAGGCGGGGUAACGGCCCACCUAGUCUUCGAUGGAUAGGGGUUCUGAGAGGAAGGUCCCCCACAUUGGAACUGAGACACGGUCCAAACUCCUACGGGAGGCAGCAGUGAGGAAUAUUGGUCAAUGGGCGCAGGCCUGAACCAGCCAAGUAGCGUGAAGGAUGACUGCCCUAUGGGUUGUAAACUUCUUUUAUAAAGGAAUAAAGUCGGGUAUGUAUACCCGUUUGCAUGUACUUUAUGAAUAAGGAUCGGCUAACUCCGUG